UACCAGCUCUCCGAGUUGUAGGGAUGAUUAUUGGGCUUAAAGCGUCCGUAGCUGGCUUAGCAAGUCUCCUGUUAAAUUCAGCGACCUAAUCGUUGAGCCGCGGGAGAUACUAUUAGGCUAGGAGGCGGGAGAGGUCGACGGUACUUUCGGGGUAGGGGUGAAAUCCUAUAAUCCCGGGAGGACCACCAGUGGCGAAGGCUGUCGACUAGAACGCGCUCGACGGUGAGGGACGAAAGCUGGGGGAGCGAACCGGAUUAGAUACCCGGGUAGUCCCAGCUGUAAACUAUGCGGGCUAGGUGUUGGGGUGGCUACGGGCCACCUCAGUGCCGCAGGAAAGCCAUUAAGCCCGCCGCCUGGGGAGUACGGCCGCAAGGCUGAAACUUAAAGGAAUUGGCGGGGAGCACCACAAGGCGUGAAGCUUGCGGUUC
rnacentral:rRNA from 1 species